rnacentral:rRNA from 1 species
CUACGGGUUGCUCCAGUGGGGAAUAUUGCACAAUGGGCGCAAGCCUGAUGCAGCCAUGCCGCGUGUAUGAAGAAGGCCUUCGGGUUGUAAAGUACUUUCAGCGGGGAGGAAGGGAGUAAAGUUAAUACCUUUGCUCAUUGACGUCACCCGCAGAAGAAGCACCGGCUAACUCCGUGCCAGCAGCCGCGGUAAUACGGAGGGUGCAAGCGUUAAUCGAAAUUACUGGGCGUAAAGCGCACGCAGGCGGUUUGUUAAGUCAGAUGUGAAAUCCCCGGGCUCAACCUGGGAACUGCAUCUGAUACUGGCAAGCUUGAGUCUCGUAGAGGGGGGUAGAAUUACAGGUGUAGCGGUGAAAUGCGUAGAGAUCUGGAGGAAUACCGGUGGCGAAGGCGGCCCCCUGGACGAAGACUGACGCUCAGGUGCGAAAGCGUGGGGAGCAAACAGGAUUAGAUACCCGCGUAGUC